rnacentral:rRNA from 1 species
AGAGUUUGAUCCUGGCUCAGGAUGAACGCUAGCUACAGGCUUAACACAUGCAAGUCGAGGGGCAGCAUGGUCUUAGCUUGCUAAGGCCGAUGGCGACCGGCGCACGGGUGAGUAACACGUAUCCAACCUGCCGUCUACUCUUGGACAGCCUUCUGAAAGGAAGAUUAAUACAAGAUGGCAUCAUGAGUCCGCAUGUUCACAUGAUUAAAGGUAUUCCGGUAGACGAUGGGGAUGCGUUCCAUUAGAUAGUAGGCGGGGUAACGGCCCACCUAGUCUUCGAUGGAUAGGGGUUCUGAGAGGAAGGUCCCCCACAUUGGAACUGAGACACGGUCCAAACUCCUACGGGAGGCAGCAGUGAGGAAUAUUGGUCAAUGGGCGAGAGCCUGAACCAGCCAAGUAGCGUGAAGGAUGACUGCCCUAUGGGUUGUAAACUUCUUUUAUAAAGGAAUAAAGUCGGGUAUGCAUACCCGUUUGCAUGUACUUUAUGAAUAAGGAUCGGCUAACUCCGUGCCAGCAGCCGCGGUAAUACGGAGGAUCCGAGCGUUAUCCGGAUUUAUUGGGUUUAAAGGGAGCGUAGGUGGACAGUUAAGUCAGUUGUGAAAGUUUGCGGCUCAACCGUAAAAUUGCAGUUGAUACUGGCUGUCUUGAGUACAGUAGAGGUGGGCGGAAUUCGUGGUGUAGCGGUGAAAUGCUUAGAUAUCACGAAGAACUCCGAUUGCGAAGGCAGCUCACUGGACUGCAACUGACACUGAUGCUCGAAAGUGUGGGUAUCAAACAGGAUUAGAUACCCUGGUAGUCCACACAGUAAACGAUGAAUACUCGCUGUUUGCGAUAUACAGUAAGCGGCCAAGCGAAAGCAUUAAGUAUUCCACCUGGGGAGUACGCCGGCAACGGUGAAACUCAAAGGAAUUGACGGGGGCCCGCACAAGCGGAGGAACAUGUGGUUUAAUUCGAUGAUACGCGAGGAACCUUACCCGGGCUUAAAUUGCAUUUGAAUAUAUUGGAAACAGUAUAGUCGUAAGACAAAUGUGAAGGUGCUGCAUGGUUGUCGUCAGCUCGUGCCGUGAGGUGUCGGCUUAAGUGCCAUAACGAGCGCAACCCUUAUCUUUAGUUACUAACAGGUCAUGCUGAGGACUCUAGAGAGACUGCCGUCGUAAGAUGUGAGGAAGGUGGGGAUGACGUCAAAUCAGCACGGCCCUUACGUCCGGGGCUACACACGUGUUACAAUGGGGGGUACAGAAGGCAGCUACCUGGUGACAGGAUGCUAAUCCCAAAAGCCUCUCUCAGUUCGGAUCGAAGUCUGCAACCCGACUUCGUGAAGCUGGAUUCGCUAGUAAUCGCGCAUCAGCCAUGGCGCGGUGAAUACGUUCCCGGGCCUUGCACACACCGCCCGUCAAG